rnacentral:tRNA from 1 species
GGUCCUUUCGCGUGGUGGACGGGGGCGCGGGGCGCGCCCGGCCCGACGGGGAGCGGCGGGCCGGCCGGUCGCUCCGGCCGGAGACCAC